rnacentral:tRNA from 1 species
GGUUUGUGGCUUGGGGGUAGAGUCCUUGCCUAGCAUGUGAAAAACCCUGGGUUCAAUCCCCAGCACUAAAAUCA